UACGUAGGGGGCAAGCGUUGUCCGGAUUCAUUGGGCGUAAAGAGCGUGUAGGCGGCCAGGUAGGUCGGUUGUGAAAACUGGAGGCUCAACCUUCAGAGGUCGACCGAAACCAUCUGGCUAGAGUCCGGGAGAGGAGAGUGGAAUUCCUGGUGUAGCGGUGAAAUGCGCAGAUAUCAGGAAGAACACCCGUGGCGAAAGCGGCUCUCUGGGCCGAUACUGACGCUGAGGAGCGAAAGCGUGGGGAGCGAACAGG
rnacentral:rRNA from 1 species